UUUGCAUCGCUUUAUUCUAGCAAACAAAAAAAUCGUGCUGAGGAAGAGCUGACCUAUUGACUGAACUAAAAAGCGAGUUAAAAGGUAAAGAUGCUGAAAUUUACCGCGCACCGGAGACACACCGGAGUUUUCUUCAUGAGCAAAAAUGAUCCUUUCCAUAAUGCAUUAACAUAAUCAUUCCUGAAUAAAAAUCAUAUGUGCUGCAAAUCUUCAGUUGCUUCCAUCGCUCUACCAGGAGAGAUUAUUUUCGUAUCUGGACGGAGUCCGUCGGAGUCCGCAUGAAUACCUUUUCCCAAUCCACAGGACGAAUGUAAAAGUUGUUUUCAAGAAUAAUUAAUUUAUGUUCAAAUAAAUGUUGUU